rnacentral:rRNA from 1 species
AGCUCCAAUAGCGUAUAUUAAAGUUGCUGCAGUUAAAAAGCUCGUAGUUGCAUUUCCGAGGCAAGGGAUUAGUCCGACCUUUGGUGGGUAUUUAAUCCUCUUGCCUCGUCCUUGAGUGGUGCUUCUUGGUAUUAAGUUAUCGAGGAGAUAGCCGCUCAUCGUUUACUGUGAGAAAAUUAGAGUGUUCAAAGCAGGCUUAUGCCGUUGAAUAUAUUAGCAUGGAAUAAUAAAUAGGACCUCGGUACUAUUUGGUUGGUUUGAGAACCAAGGUAAUGAUGAAUAGGGACAGUUGGGGGUAUUCGUAUUCAGUUGUCAGAGGUGAAAUUCUUAGAUUUACGGAAGACGAACUACUGCGAAAGCAUUUACCAAGGAUGUUUUCA